AAAGGAAUAGACGGGGACCCGCACAAGCGGUGGAGUAUGUUGUUUAAUUCGAGGCUACGCGAGAAACCUUACCGACUCUUGACAUCCCGAUCGCGACUUGCAGAGAUGCUUGUCUUCAGUUAGGCUGGAUCGGUGACAGAUGCUGCAUGGUUGUCGUCAGCUCGUGUCGUGAGAUGUUGGGUUAAGUCCCGCAACGAGCGCAACCCUCGUCCUUUGUUGCCAUCGGGUCAUGCCGGGCACUCUAAGGAGACUGCCAGCGUUAAGCUGGAGGAAGGUGGGGAUGAUGUCAAAUCAUCAUGGUUCUUACGAGUCGGGCUACAAACGUACUACAAUGGUGGCAACAAUGGGCCGCGCCCCCGCGAGGGGAAGCUAAUCCUAAAAAGCCAUCUCAGUUCGGAUUGCACUCUGCAACUCGAGUGCAUGAAGUUGGAAUCGCUAGUAAUCGCUGAUCAGAAUGCAGCGGUGAAUACGUUCCCGGGUCUUGUACACACCGCCCGU
rnacentral:rRNA from 1 species